CAAAAGAGAUUCAAAGUAAACAUGUCACAAGUAGUCGGGUUCUUUUUCUUUCUUAUUUCUGUCAUCUGCAUGUCAGGAUUGAUGAUGACACCUGCUGCAAAGACAUGUGCUGGGGUAUUCAACUGCUACCAUCCCUUGAUUAGAGCGAUUUGCACGGAACAAUGUAAAGGAGUAUGAUUUGAAAAGGUUUGAAGGUUUCCAUCAUGGAUGUCAGCGUGCAAAUAUUGCCUUCAAGUGUUCUUUCAAUUCUUAUUAUAUUAUAUUAUAAUUGGAUAUUAAUAAAAAAUAAAAUGUUCUGCAUCGUUAA